rnacentral:rRNA from 1 species
CCUACGGGAGGCAGCAGGGAGGAAUAUUGGGCAAUGGGCGGGAGCCUGAACCAGCCAAGGAGCGGGAAGGAUGAAUGCACAACGGGGUGUAAACUUCUUUUAUAAAGGAAUAAAGUGAGGCACGUGUGCCCUUUUGUAUGUACCUUAUGAAUAAGGAUCGGCUAACUCCGUGCCAGCAGCCGCGGUAAUACGGAGGAGCCGAGCGUUAUCCGGAUUUAUUGGGUUUAAAGGGAGCGGAGGUGGGUUGUUAAGUCAGUUGUGAAAGUUUGCGGCUCAACCGUAAAAUUGCAGUUGAUACUGGCAGUCUUGAGUACAGUUGAGGUAGGCGGAAUUCGUGGUGUAGCGGU